UGAUUGGCAGGCACGUGCCGACGCCGCUUCGGAUGUUCCAGACCAAAUUUACGAAUCUGUACCAGACGCCACACCCAUGAUGAAAGAUCCCAACCCUCUGUACGCCCCCGGAAAAGAAGCGGCCUCAAAACAGAGGAAGAAAAACGUCCGCCUAUGCGUCAGGUUGUGGCAGAUCUUCAGCCCUGUGGUCGUCGUGGGCAUCGCAAUUCUCUUGUCCUAUUUUUCAG